rnacentral:lncRNA from 1 species
CGAGUGACUAUGAACAUGAAAAUAUUUAUGAUGAGCUAUGAAAAUAUCUUUAAAAUCAUAUGGUUGGAAAUGAAAUCAAAUUACAAACGAGUGACUCUCAGCUUUCAGAUAGUAUGAUUUUUUAUUUUUUUUUUAUAAAAUCACAGCUAAUAAAGUCAAUGAGCUGUGAACCGGCGUGCCCAUAAACGUUGGAAAUCUCCAUCGGAUCGACCGUAGAAAUCAACGGUGCAGAUUCUCCCAAACUAGUUAUAUUACGCUAAAAUAUUCUCCUCUCCCCCAAGCGAAAAAGCAUAUUUCAAUUUCUUCAAAACAGAAAACAGUGUAAAAUCGAUCGAUAAAAAGCGAAAAAGGAAAAUGUCAGGUUGGACGGGGGCGACGGUUUCGCGGUUGUUGGACGUCAGCUUCACGCUGCCUACGUCGCUUUUCCGGUGGCCGAGGCUCCUGACUUCCUACCUGACGCCGCCGCCGAGGUGGAGCAGCAGCAUCGCCAGCCUCACUCUCAUCAGAGCGCGGUGGACCCCGCGCAUCCGCCUCCCCGACGUGGACGAUGUCGUGUGGUCCGUCGUCUCCGCCGUGGAGUCGGUGGCGCUAGUCUCCUUCCUCUGCUUCUUCUUCGUCUUCUGCGGCUGCACUCUGUGAAUUGUACGCCGAAAUAUCUACCGAUCGGAAAUAGUGAGUAUGUAUUAUAUGCGUGCUGUACUAUGUUCGUGCCUCCGUGUACGUUAGUUUUUUAAGUGGAGAAAUGGCGGUCGGGAUUUUGAUGAUGGAGGCGCGUGAUGCUAACGCGUGGUUUCUUCUUCCUUUUUGGGGGUUUUCUGUUUAAAAUUUUGGAGAGUGGCAGCCAAUGAUGGCCUGCCUCUUGACUGCUUUUGACUGCCCCAGGCCGAGGGCAGUUUUGUCAAUGUAUAAUCUUAACUAAUCAUGUUUUCUUUUAUUUUAUCAUUUGGAGUAGUUUUCAUUUUUAGCCUCUCAACUUUUAUGAGUAGUUUGUGUUUCUUAUCAUGGCAUAAGUAAAUCCAAUAUUUAGUUAAAAAAUAUCCUUUUAAUAUCCGUCAAUU